rnacentral:miRNA from 1 species
GACGUUGAUAUUCGACGUCGUAAACACGAUCAACUUAGGUGUUUAUGAGGUCGAUAUUCGGCGCCAUACACACGAUUAACUUUGGUGUUUAUGACGUCGAUAUUCGACGUCAUAAACACGAUCAAAUUAGGUUUUAUGACGUCGAUAUUCGACAUCAUAAACACAAUCAACUUAGGUGUUUAUGACGUCGAUAUUCGAUGUCAUAAACACGAUUAACUUUGGUGUUUAUGACGUCGAUAUUCGACGUC